GAAGGUAUAGCUCAAUGGUAGAGUGCAUGUUUAACGUGCACGAGGUCCUGGGUUCAAUCCCCAGUACCGCCA
rnacentral:tRNA from 1 species